CCUCUGAAUAUGUGUUUGAAUCGCCACUCCUGUCCAUGCAGAUCCUUGGCAACCAGCUCCUGUGCUGGGGUUUGCUGUGACAUGUCCUGUUCAUAGCAUGCAAACACAGAUCCGAUUGUGAGAAUACCUGAGCAACCGAAACAGAUAAUAGAAAGACAUGAAAUAACUUACUAGAGGCGGAAGACAUUCGGUGGCAUGUCUACGAAGAACCGAGAAGCCACCGUGGGUACUUGUAUCCGAAGCCGUCAAUAUCUUACAAAAUGAAUGAACCGCUGGUCUCGGUGGCU
rnacentral:lncRNA from 1 species